AAAUGUUAACUCACGCAUAAAUCAAGCCCCAGUGCCUCCCUACGAUGAACACUUCACAACAUACACGCAAUGUGUUCAUCGCAGGUUGCAACAACAAUGAUAUCAUUACAUCACUCUAAGACACAAGAAUUAAGUCAAACUCAUACAUAGAGCAAAAUGCCAAAUUAUUACAACUCACGGACACAUGUCUACAAUCAUCAUUACACCAGCGGAAGCAAAAUAGGCUCGAGUACGGACAAGUUACAAUUAUUGCCUAAAAGGCUGAAACUGAAAAGGAGAGCCACCACAAGUUCACAGAACCCUGCUCUGGAAUCUUCUGGCUAAACGUCGAAGCUGUCGUCGUCAAACUCCACGAAGUAACCACUCACAUGUUCUUCCGGAAACUCUGGAGAAAAACAACGUUGCAAAGCAACUGAGUACAAAGUACUCGCAAGACUUACGGGAGAUCUAAACUAGAUAUGCAACAAGUCUCAAAGGAUGGAUAAAAGAUGGGUUAUGCAGCAGCGAUAUAUCUGGUGAGACACACUAAUGACAUCGUCUAGAUAGAGGAUAAGGAGCGUCUACCAAGGGAGGUAAUAAACUAAUAACUAACACCAAUCAAACACAACCUCUUAUCACCCCCUCAACCUCUUGUGAGGAAAUGAUCCGAAGGCACUCACACUUAAGCAAUUGUAGGCAUAUCCAUGAUUAAGACUAAUUACUACUCAAGUUUAAGAGGUUAAGUUGAUUAAUUGGUAUGAGUUCUCUAUGAUCAAGUAAUGACCAACCAAGUCGUCCAUGACCGCGGACACGGCUUUCCGAAAGAUUUAUCCCUGCAGGGUGUGCCAAUUUACCCGUACACGUUCGUCCAACCCUUGAUGCCACUAGCAUGGAACACACGCAAAAACAUGUGCCGGCAGGAUUGAGCGACACGACGUUUCCAAGCCCCACAACUAAUCCAGGGUACCACCCAACCGAGUCUAAUCCGAAAUGAGAGCCCGGCCGAAGCGUUGUACGGACUCAAGAGUUGCGGGAACAGCUGGUAGUGGUUCAGUGUCCGCAGAAUAACCACUCCAGACGUGUGCCGCAGUCCUAUAUGUAUGCAAAGUGACAACAAGUCUCCAAACACAACACCAGUGUAUAUGCGAUAUGCCAAAUGGAACGUCCGAACUAUGUGGCCCCUGGAAGAGCUAUGAAACGAGUACUAAGCCGAGGGGGAACCCAUAUAUUCUCCCACGAGCGGUUAGCGCGAAGUUUCUUGGGUCGGCGAAAACGAGAACUCAGUCCUUAGGUCGGCGCCAAUGGAACAAAACACCAAUGCGUUAGCACGGCCUCCCAUCGUUGCCUUGUGCAGGUAAUAACAGGUCACAAUUUAAAUAAUUGCAAUUAAAUACAGAAAAGUAGCACGUGGAUGUAGCAAUUGUAUAACUCCAAGUAAGCACACUAGACUAGCAAUCUAUGCAGACUUCUAAUGACCCACCAGGACAAUAACAAACAUGUGACAUGGUAAUAGGAUAAGGAACAAGACAACCGGCAUUUGAGUAGAGCUGACUAAAGCUAUGCAGUCCUAGAGGCAUCGUGUCAAGAACCGAGAACGUAACUUAAUGCAAGAAUGAGAGAGAGGCAUUGGUAUAAUCAAUAUGUUCAAGGAAUGGCUGCUUGCCUGGAUUCUCGGUCGCUGGGCACCGAGAGAGGGGAUCCGAAGAAGUGGGAAAACCCGGAUCAUCGACGGAGUAAAUCGGAGUCGCUAUCGUAAAGAUCCAAAUCACACAAUACGCGAAUAAGUAACAAUUCAUUGGUGCAAUGCACAAUACAACAUGACAUGGCAUGUGACAACAUGAUGCGACCAUAUGCGAAUGAAAGGAUUCCAUUUAGCAACAAAGUUAACUAGUAGGUGACUAGAUCAUGGUAAACAGCAGCUUUAAAAUACACAAAUGGCCUAACCAAAUAUGCUACUGUGUUCUAAAAGUUACAGGGAUCAACUUUGAUGUUUACACUAACCAUAGAAGAGUUACCAAUUUUAAACUAGAGGCGAAACAAGUUCAUACGUUUGAAUUUCAAAUCUGGGACAUAUUUGAAAUUUGAAACCUCAAAAUGUAAUUCUAGCUGCACAGUAAAAUUCCUUGCACUUUUUUUAUUCCAAAACAUAUAUGGUUUGCCCAAAUAGGACAUAGCAUGCAUUUUCUAGGAAUUAAACAAGACAAAACAAUUUCUGGAAUUUUACAACAAGGAAAACACGCAGAGAACUAAAACUACACGGGCGCAGCUAGCCUGUGUGGCUGACAGCGGGCCCGGACAAGCUAACGAGGCGGGGCGCGCUGAGCUGGCUGCCGCGGUCUCUGACCAGCAGGACCCACCUGUCAGACGUGGCCAAAGAGUAAAAAGGUGGGGUUUUUACCCUGCGCCCACGGGAGAUCGAACCCGGGUCGGUUUGACCGAGCGAACGAACGAGCGAGGUGGCCAGGCGGGCUGCGAUUUGGAUCUUACAAGAUCCAGGGCGCAAGCCCUCUUAACCCAUCCCAAGCGGGCGGCCUGGGAGCACGCGCGGCGGCCACGGCGAGCAUGGACGCCGGCGACCAAGCUAGCGGCGGAGGGACUCCCUAACUCGGAAAAACGGAAGCGCGCGGAAACAACUAGCCUAGGUGGCACGAAGGCCACCAUAGUGUCCUUAAGGAGACGACGGCGCGGCGACGAGCCGAAGCUCGCCGGCGGCACGGAAGGGCGCGCGGGCGGCGCUACGACGCUAGGGUGCAUGAAAAACGGCGCGGAAAGAGGCAGGAGGAAGAGCAACUCACCCCGGUGACGUGCGAGGAAGCUGACGAGGAAUAGACGAGCGGUUUCGCCGGAAUUUGGCCGGAGAUGAGCGGCGGCCGGAGAUGGGGAAGACGAUCUAGACGUCGAUGUAGGUGCCCUCCGUCCAAUUCCUCGCACGUAGACGAAGCAGGCGACAACACGGUUCGGGUGACGCAGUCGGCUUGCCGCCGUUCAGCCGGAGACGGUGGCACGACGCAGCGGCGUCCACGGCCGAAGGAGCGAGGCGACGGCGCUGCGCAGAAGGGGAAGGAGAAAACCCUAACUAGGGUUUCCUAGAGGCGGCGCGGGCAGGAGGAGGUGCGGCGCAGCUUAUGUAGGCGAGGGGGAAGGCGUGGCUGUCGCUAUCGAAGAGGACGUGGCCG
rnacentral:lncRNA from 1 species